AAAAGGUGUAGUUUUACCAUUCAUCUUAUUGAAAACAUUUUCUAAUUAGCAUUUUUGUUAUUAUUAGAUGAAUAAAACAUGAAUAAUAUUUUAUAUGUGAUUAAUUUUUUAAUUUUUUUAUAAACUUUUUAAAUAAGACGGACGGUCGGAAUGAAAACCCACGACGGCACCGCAC
rfam:Oryza rufipogon genomic scaffold, chr01